GCGCCUCUCUUCCUGCUUUCCUGACCCUUUCCGCCAUUUAAAGAAACAGUACCGGGGGCGGGCCGAGAGACGCAGCCGGGACGGUAGCUGCGGUGCGGACCGGAGGAGCCAUCUUGUCUCGUCGCCGGGGAGUCAGGCCCCUAACUCGAAGAAGCCCUGGCGCGCCCUCCCCCCCUCCCCGGUCUGGUAGGGCGAAGGAGCGGGCGCGCGGUCGAUCGAGCGAUCGGUUGGCGGCUCUUUCUCCUGCUCUGGCAUCCAGCUCUUGGGGCGCAGGCCCGGCCGCCGCGGCGCGCGCCCGGUGGCCGUUGGCGGUCGCGCCGUGUCUUUCUUCUCGUACGCAGAACUCGGGCCGCGGCCUAUGCGUUUGCGAUUCGUCGAGGAGUCGUCCGGGUGGUCGGUGGCGGCGGGCAGCUGCUCCGCCCCGCUCCCGGGGAAGCGGCAGCGGCGGGAUUUGGCGUGGCCGGGGAGUCGGGGGUGGCCGGGGCCGGCCUGGAGGCCUGGCGCCACCCUUCGGGGCCUGCAGGGACCCAGUUGGAGGGACAGGAGGAGGCUGGGGGAUGGUUGGUGGUGGGCUUUCUACUUUGCCUUUUCCUCCUUAUGCCGCCUUAGGGGCCGGGGCUCUGACAGCAGCUGCGGGGUGGGAAGACAAGCCCCGGAGUCGGAAGAGCUGGGUUUGCUUCCGGGCCUAGCCAACAGUUGGCCGAGUGACCUUAGGCAAGUCACUCUGUAAUUUGCGCCUCAGUUUCCUCCUCUGCCUAUUGGUGUUUGUGGGAUUAAAAGCGCUUUGUAAACUGUAAAGCGUGAGUGUACGUAAGGGACGAUUUUUGUUUGUAUUUUUUUUUUGAGUUGUAAGAAAACUUAGUAAUUGCCCAAUCCUUGGAUUUUCAACCUUGGAUUGGAGUUGGCGAUCCACACAAACUCCCUGAAAUUGUACGCAGAAAUUAGUGGGAAUGUGCAUUUCAGGGGAAUGAGGAUCCAUCACUAACAAGUUUUCAAAGGGAGAUGUCACCCCUCCCCCAAGAGUUAAGAACCACAAUUUCUUUAUGCCACAGGGAGGAAACUGAGGCCUAGAUGUCAUUUGGGACCCUUCGCAACCAAUUUGAAGCCCCUAAUUGAAUCCCUGGGAUAUGUGAGCUGUUUCUGUGCAGAAUGGAUUUUCGGCGUAACAACACUCCACCGCUUGGCUUCUAUCCUUAGUCCUUUCCUUUCCCCAUGGGGUGUCUGAAGAGUGGCUGAUGCAUAUGGUACAAUGGUGCCCAAUAUAAAGUAGCUAAAUCUAGUCUAUGUAAUCUUUGGCCCAAUAACUUUGUUUUCUGCUGCUUAUACUGGUUGGUGUCUGACUACCUUUCUGACUUUAAUUAACCAUUUUCCACAACCAUGUUUGCCACUAUUUACUUGGUCCUAUUUUAUAUCCCUAGUCUGUGUGGUUGGUAGUGAGCAGGCUUAUUUUUAAAUUGGUGCUGCCAAGUCUAGCUAAUUAGUGUCAGGUGAAUUUUUAGAAAGCUGGCUCACUGGAACAGACUGAACCAGGCAUGGAAUUCCCGAAGAUGUUGAGGGGUUUAUCUUUAUUAAUUGAAGGUUAACAUUCUCUGCAAAGUUUUUAGAACUCCUCCUGAAUCUCAGAAUCAGUAGAUUUGGAAGUGUUUCAAAGCUUAACUUUUUCCUGGACUGCUUUGUAUUCUGUUUGCUUGCAAAUGUGUUACUAAGAUGGCCAAACUGCCAGUUUUUGCUUCUUUGUUAAUUGUCAGCUGCUGUUAUCAAAUUCCAGGCCAUUAUCUAGCAAACACUAUAGAAAUGUUUGAACAGUUGGAUUUCAAACAUUUUCGUUUUGUGGAAUAUUGCUUACCAGUGGUACAGCUCUAAGCAAGUGAACACACACGUUCAAGUGUAUUUUGUCUGGUUAGUUGUUACCCAGUUCUGCUAUUUCAUACAAUUAUCUGAAAAAAAUGAAUUGACUAUUCCCUUUACCUAAAGGGCAGCGACAAAUGAUCUCACUUUCAUAGAAAUGACUAUUUCAGAGAAAAUGUGUUGGUCAUUUAGGUCUUUUAUAGUCAAAUCUGGAUGUACCUCAAAAGACUUUUAAGACUGGUGAUAAGAUGCUUUCCUCGGCAGAAAGGAGGGGGGGAAAAACAACUGGAACUGAAAGCUUGAAAUUCUGUGACAAAACAUGAGCUGUCCAGGAUAGGAGGUUGAAAGUGUUUCACUACAAUGUUCUGCACUAGCUGGAGCAGAUGCCUUUCAGUGUAGCCACGGCAUGGACUCCAGAUUUCCAAGACCUGGACCUGGGACAUGGAAGAACUUAUCAGGGUGUGACAGGAACUCUGGCUGGAUAUUUUUAUUUUUGAAUAUUGGGACUGUUGUCUCUUUUCUCAAAGCAAACUCGAUGACUGAUCAAGCACUGCCACCAGCACUGUUACUGGGAAUUUGAAGACCUGAGUUUCUUCCAGACCCUCAGUGCAAACUCUGGCAACGCUCUAUUCCAAAGUGAACUACGAUAGCAAACCUCGUGAAAGCAAGGGCCUUAUGAAUUUUUGCCCACACAUACUACCACAUAUGAUGAAUCAUUUAAUAGAAAGGAGGAAUUUGGAGAGCAGGUUAUCUCAGAAUAGCGUUCAUCCUAUGCCUCCUGAUUGCUGAGUGUUUUCCUGGACCUUCUGACCACCUUCCUUGUGCUGUUCCACCAGCCUGCAGAUCUGGUACCUGGAUUUUUGCUCAUGGUGAUUUCUACUGAAGAAGACACCAUUCCAGUGGACCGCUGUGACCUAAGAAGCCUUCAGCCAUCAUGAUGUGGCCUUCACCUCCGUUCCUGUCCUGCUGUACCCAGAUUGAGCAUCAUCCUUAUAGUAAAGUCAAACUCCUCAAGCCAAAUAGCUGAAGCUGUUCUAUCACAACAAAAGCCCAGUUUGUUCAUUGAGUGUGCAUUUUGUUUCUUCAGUUAAAGGCUUCAGAGACAAUAAAUUUGGACCAGGGGAUUUUUAGUAAUCAACACUGAAAAAUGGCAACAUCCUUUUGAGAACUACGUUGGACCAUACCCCACAAUCUCAAAUGUUUGAAGUUCAUACAGUGUCUAGGAUUCCAUCCAGGUCACUGGACCCUAUUCUUUUUCCACUUCAAGUCUGUAUGUAGUAGCCUACUGAAUGAGAAAGCAGAUAUUCUGACCCAUUGGGAUUAAAACAAAGGCACAGUGAAGUCCUCAUAGCACCAUCUUUGGGAUUACUCAGGAACCAGAACUUUCAUACAAAUGUAAGAAAUUUUACCAAGGAAUCCCUUUACCUAACAACAUCUUACAAAGCUCCAGUCAGAUUCCAGAAAAGGCCUCUUGAGACAUCCAGGUAGAAUCUAUAUGGUAAUCCCUUAUGUUUAUAUUGCACUUUACAGUUCCACAGCACUUUUACAUGCGUUAAUCUCAGUUAUCAACAUAACAAUAAAUUAAAUCCCUUUUUUGCAAAUGAGGAAAUGGAAUUUGAAAGGUUAUCUGAGGUAACACAGCUACAAAGUGGAAGAAGCCAGGCCUUCUGACUCCCAGUCCAGUCCUCUCCUUGGAAUUAAAUUAGCCUCUACCCACAGUGUUAAAAUGUCUAGAGAUUGAAAACCCCAGAAAAGGUUUCCAACUUUCUGACCUGGUGCCCUCAAUCAGUCAGAUGUUAUAAAUGUUGUAUUUUGAUAGCUGCACCUAGACCAGAAUUCCAUGAUAACACCCCUGACAUUUAGGAGCAGACUGUCUCCAUGGUGGUAGAUUGUCCAGUCAACGAGGCACAUGUUCACCUGGCAACAAGACUACCCAACGUGAAACACAAAGCUACUUUUAGAACCUUUGUCCUUCUUCAUGGUCUUCCCAAAGGUGGCCUUGUUGAUUAGGGAUUCCUGUUCAUAUCAUUGUCCUUGUGGAGUUUUGGGGUUUUUUUUUAAGUCUUAAUACUCUAAAGCACCCAACAUCUUUAUCUAUGGUCCUUUAUCCCUAAAGUAAUAUUUAUACAAAAUGAGCCACCCGUUUUUUUCAGAGUAGUACUGUUCAUAUGAGUGUGUAUUUAUAUACAUGAUAUAUACAUAUCAUAUAGAGAGCUUCUGUAGUCCAGUAAAAUAAAAAUACUGUAAAAAUAUGUCCCCUCCCUGAUUCCUAAUGCAAUGUGGUAAAGGACCUCAGAAGACUUGCAGCAAAAAAAACUUUUUUAGCUGUUUAGUGUUUACCCCAGUAUGUUCUAAGUUAAAUUAAGCACUGGGUGUUAUUUUUGCAGCAUUCCUUCUAAUGGAAUGGGGAAACUGCUUUAGAGCAGUACAGCCAGUGCUUCCUGACUGACAACAAAUUGCCCAGAAAUAAACUGCAUCUUUGAAAUCCCCAUUUUUCUUGUCAAUAACUGCUUUGAAUUAAUAUGUAUCAUGAGAGUCAUUUAUCUUGACUAUUACCUUCAUUUUCUGUCAAAGGAACCUCUAAAAGAUUUGUGAGGACAUGCGAGGGGAAUGGGGAAAAGUUAAUUCUGCCCCUAAAUUGGAUGAAUUCCAUGACAUUUAACAAUAUACUUCUCUGUCUCUAGAAUUGUGCUAUAAACCUAGUUCUCAGAUAGGUGAGAAUAUUGGGAAGGGAAGAGAGGAAAAGGAUGGAGAAAGUGGGGAGGCGGGGUGAGAAGAAGAUAAUUUAGAAUUUGAGUUAUUGCCCAUUGAGAUCGUAUCAGUGCUUGAGAAGUCAUCCAGCCAUGGACUUCUUGGAAUAAUAUUUAGAAAAUACUAAGAAAUGAAUGCAUUUUGCAGCUCUAUGCUGACUACAAAAACUCCCAUGCUAUUGUCACUUAAAACCAAUAGCUUUGUUCUCUUGACAGUCACAAGCCCAAUUUCAGGCAAUCAGAAUUUAUAGCAAACUGGAAUGUUUUCAUAAUUCUAUAAUGUGGCCCACCUUAGGGGAAAAAUGAAUAGGAAAACACCUUGGUUUACCAAAGGCUAUGCUCACACAGUUUCUGGUUUCUGUGACCUAUUUUUUGUAUUUCAGCAUUUUGUGAACAACUUAUUCUUAGAUCAUUGGUUUUCCAAAGGCUUUGUGGCCAUGAAGCCCCUUGAAUGAAAACUAUGUGGAAGCCCCAAGUAAAAAUGGAGCUGCUCUGGAUGAAGCAGGAGUGGGGGCCUGCCACCUGCCACAAGCAUCUUUACCACCAUGGUGACACCUAAGAAGACUUCUUUACAACACCUAGAAUUCUUCAGAACAGUUUGAAACCAUUGCCCUAGAUAACAGUAUGUUGAACUUGAAUGGCAUUCUGAUCUGUACCUCUACCCAACAGUCUAUGUUCAGUUGGUGCUGAAUACUCUUAUGAAUACUCAUUGUGGGCAAACUCAGAAAAGUACAAGAAGACGGGUGUAUCUUUGCUCCCCAGAGUAGUCAUAUGGGCCAAAAGUGGUAUCAAAUGGACCUAGAUUAACAAUUAAAAGCCCUCUGCCCCCAGGUGAACUUCCAGUGAUUCCUGGAGUUGGAUGUAGACAGUAAUUAAUAUAUACUCUACACUGACAAACCCUCUUACCCAACUUCUUUUACAAACACCAGAAGCUCUAGUGGUACUUGAAAUACGUGAUUUUGAAGUUUUGAUCCUCCUUGGAUACCUGAAUCACCAGGUAUUGAAGCUGAUGCCUCAUUGAGGCUAUAGUAGACUGACAUAUAUUGGACCUCCCAUCAUCAGCCGUGGUACUCUACUUCAUGUGCAAGCGAUAACCAUGAACUAUAAAAGCAGAAUUCAAAUACUGGCAACAUUACCUAAAAGGAUACCUGGUUAUCACUCGUCUUAUUCUCAAACUACAAGUCACUGUGACUCAACCAGUGAAGUUAUACUGCUGCUUGGUUUUUAUUCACUAACUGCUGUUUCCAGGGUAAAUGAGCUAAUAACCUUUAAAAAGCUAAAACAAUUCUUCCAUCACUGGCAUAUCUGCCUGGCAUAUUCUGCUCUAAAAUUAUGAAUACUCAGCUCUAACUACAUGUAACACCUGAUCCACAAGAGACAAUCUUUGAACAUCUUUUCUCAUUAUGUAAUUUAAAAUGUGGCCACUUGAAGAAUUUUCUUCUAGCCAAUAAGAAUUUUUUUAAUGGGUAUUUUGAUGUCUGGUACCAUCAACUGUAGGUGUUAGGGAUAUUUGGAGGUAGGCCUUCUGACCAGGCCAUGAUAGCUUACUUGCUGGGAAUCUCAAAUUGUAUAUCAUCUACCUUUUUGCUAGAAAUGUAGACUGACUUGGAAAAAAAAAAAUCUACAAAGCCUGAAGCUAAGGAUUUUAUCAGUUGACUGAAGAGCUUCCUACUGCUUCAUCCUAAUGUCACAAGACCACAGUCCCUUGCCCUUGUGGAUGUGCUAUGGAAUUUCAUCUGUCUCAAUACUGUUGUUUUACACUGAUUCAGAGUGGCUGACUUCAUUCCUUUCCAUGAGGUACUCUCAGGCAUUAAGACAACUUACUGUCUUUGCAGGAAGGAUUGGAUUCAUAAGCUUCCAGACCAGAUCAUGUUGAAUAAGUAAACUUUAAUUUAUGUCACAAGAAAAUCUCAUUUACUUCACAGUUGACUUAAUGUCCAGCUGACCUCAACUACUUUAAUGAAUGCACUGGUUAAAUGUUAGGAAUGGUUUCUUUGUCUUUUAUCCUCUAGACUAAAUGUGAUCACAUGACUUGGUCUGCAUAUCAUCAAACAAGGCCUAUGUCUGGUUACUCUAGAUUGCUCACCCUCAACAAAUAAAAAAUAAAACCUGAGUACUAUCCUGCUUGUAUAUACAACUCUUGUAAAGAAGAAAUUAUCUACAAACUCAAGUUUUAUACUACCUUUAAAAUAGCAGCGCAAUUUUCUUUCUGUACUGAAAAAGAUACUGAUCUACACUGCCAGUCAUUCCCUUUAAUCCUGUCAAACUCAGUCAAAAUGAGAGACUUAAGGUGAGGAUAAUCAUCUUUCAAGAGUCUAAUGAACACUUUGUAUAAGAAUUGAUGGUUGAGAAAACAGAAAACGUAAAAUUCAAACAUAGGAUCUUCCCUACUUAUCUUCAUGCCUCAGAUCUCAUCUAAAUCUUUCCAACAGUACCAUUCAACCAAUUUGAAGCUUUGACUUGUUUAUGAUUCUCAGAGAUGGGCUGAGUUAGAAGAUGGAAACUUCAUUACCAAAAGAGUACAGCUAACUUUGAUGAAUCUGGCUCUCCCAACCCUAUCACUCCCAGAUGUAGCAUAGACUCCUAAACAAAACCUCAAGUCUGGAUUGAGGAUGUAGCCUUCUCCUGAGCUGAAAGUUAUUUGGCAGAUGAGCAGGAAAAUGAAAGCUGCUGUACCUGACUGGCUAUUUAAGAUCAGAAAAUUGUAUCCAGAGUAAACACUAUGGAUGAACCCUGGAGUACUUGGGGUAAAAACUAAUUUACAGAGCUUCGAUAUUAAACUACUUGUUCUUCCGUAUCAUAUCCUUGCUAUUGGUAUGGCUGCCCCUACUAAAGGUACUUUACUUGACCAUUUACCUAACUCAGCCAUUGCCUGCCCUUUUUGACAUGUUGCUGCAACCAGACUUGCUAUCCUUGAGAAGACUACAGCUGAUCUCAGCCUAUCUUAUACCCAAUCCCACCAGGGAAUUGUAAACAGAAGCAACCUGUGCAUCACCCACCAGGAUUUAAUGUUCUCAACAGGACGCACCAUGCUGUAUACUCUGACCAGCGGCAGCCUUUUUUUAUUUAAGUGCAGAGUAAGCCUCUAUGCCUAUGUAUAUUUGAUCAUUUUCAGCACCUGGGACCCCUUCUACCAGGUCUGAAGGAGUACAGCAGAUGAAAAGCAUUGUCGACUCUUCUGCAGUGAUACAGAGGUAAGUCUGAUUCACCAGUAUAGAAAUGAGAAAUGUACCAGUCCAACUUGGCAAAAAACUUAAAGAAACACAAGAAAAGUUUUCCACUGAACUUAAAAUUUACCACUGACUUGAAUAGUCUCACAGAACUUUUUGCCAGUGGGAGGCUAGUAGUCUUGCUCAUGUCAGCUGGACGGUUGGGCUCUCAGAUUCAUGACCACUGGGUUUACUUAUAUUGAAACUAUUGUGUCAUCCAAAGUAUGCUAUUGGACAUGAUUAUUCCAUUCAAAUGGAUUAUGAGCUUUCUGAGUACAGAACAUACUCCUAAUGAUGUUUUUUCAGAAUACUUUUAUUAUCAAGAAAGUAACAAUGCCAGCUGUUACUAUUCAACUUUAUGAGCAGAGACUAAACUUUUUCAAUGUCUGAUCUUAUCGUGGACAUCAAGUGUUUUUGAUUGACCAGCAUUCAUUCCAUCUCUUUGUAACAACUCAGUGAUAUUUCUUGGAACCACAUCUCCCUAUUUUCAGUCCACAUGGUUCAGACAGUCUGACCUAACCUUGGGUUUCAUGUGUGAAUGUGUAGUUCACACCUGAUCAAGUAGCACAAUUCAUCUGGACCACACUGGUUUGUUCAGGAAUGGUCAUGUGAUUCAAGUUGGUCCAGUGAUACUCAACCCUCAGAGUUUUACUGAGCUGUGGAAGAAGAGAAGCUGAGAAACUACUUACUGAGGUUGCUUGGCUUUGUAGAAUGAGAAAGCUCAAACCAGCAGGGUCCAUUAUAUCAACUGAGCUGGUCAGAGAAUGAAGCUAGUGCAGAGGAAAAUGGAGCCAAAUGAUGGAGAGACUUGAGUACUGAUGACAGUGUUUGUGCCCCCUGGAUCCACCUGUGCCUGAAGCUAGCCUAUGUGGACUUUUCAGUUAUGUGAACCAAUAAAUAUCCUUUUUUGUUUAAGUUA